GCGCGAAAACUUUACAAUGCGGGCAACCGUGAUAAGGAAACCCCGAGUGCCAGCACAGGCUGGCUGUCCUCCAGUGUACACAACUGGUGAAGAAAGGGCCGGGCAAGACCGGUGCCAGCCGCCGCGGUAAUACCGGCGGCUCGAGUGGUGGCCGCUUUUACUGGGCUUAAAGGGUCCGUAGCUGGAUCUGCAAGUCCCUUGAGAAAUCCAUCGGCUUAACUGCUGGGCGUUCAGGGGAUACUGUGGUUCUAGGGACCGGGAGAGGUGAGAGGUACUGCCGGGGUAGGAGUGAAAUCCUGUAAUCCCGGUGGGACGACCUAUGGCGAAGGCAUCUCACCAGAACGGCUCCGACAGUGAGGGACGAAAGCUGGGGGAGCAAACCGGAUUAGAUACCCGGGUAGUCCCAGCUGUAAACGAUGCGCGUUAGGUGUGUCAGUGACCACGUGUCACUGAGGUGCCGAAGGGAAACCGUGAAACGCGCCGCCUGGGGGAUACGGGUCGCGAAGGCUAGGAAACUUAAAGGGAAUUGGGCGGGGGA
rnacentral:rRNA from 1 species